rnacentral:rRNA from 1 species
GACGAACGCUGGCGGCGUGCUUAACACAUGCAAGUCGAACGGAAAGGCCCUGCUUUUGUGGGGUGCUCGAGUGGCGAACGGGUGAGUAACACGUGAGUAACCUGCCCUUGACUUUGGGAUAACUUCAGGAAACUGGGGCUAAUACCGGAUAGGAGCUCCUGCUGAAUGGUGGGGGUUGGAAAGUUUCGGCGGUUGGGGAUGGACUCGCGGCUUAUCAGCUUGUUGGUGGGGUAGUGGCUUACCAAGGCUUUGACGGGUAGCCGGCCUGAGAGGGUGACCGGCCACAUUGGGACUGAGAUACGGCCCAGACUCCUACGGUAGGCAGCAGUGGGGAAUAUUGCACAAUGGGCGGAAGCCUGAUGCAGCAACGCCGCGUGCGGGAUGACGGCCUUCGGGUUGUAAACCGCUUUCGCCUGUGACGAAGCGUGAGUGACGGUAAUGGGUAAAGAAGCACCGGCUAACUACGUG